rnacentral:rRNA from 1 species
GAUCAUGGCUCAGGGACGAACGCUGGCGGCGUGCUUAACACAUGCAAGUCGAACGAGAAUCUGUGGAUCGAGGAUUCGUCCAAGUGAAGCAGAGGACAGUGGCGGACGGGUGAGUAACGCGUGAGGAACCUGCCUUUCGAGAGGGGGACAACAGUUGGAACGACUGCUAAUACCGCAUGAUACAGUUUGGUGGCAUCAUCUGAAUGUCAAAGAUUUAUCGCUGAAAG